rnacentral:rRNA from 1 species
UACAGAGGGGGCAAGCGUUGUUCGGAAUUGCUGGGCGUAAAGGGCGCGUAGGCGGCCUGUUAAGUCGAACGUGAAAUCCCCGGGCUCAACCCGGGAACUGCGUCCGAUACUGGCAGGCUUGAAUCCGGGAGAGGGAUGCGGAAUUCCAGGUGUAGCGGUGAAAUGCGUAGAUAUCUGGAGGAACACCGGUGGCGAAGGCGGCAUCCUGGACCGGUAUUGACGCUGAGGCGCGAAAGCCAGGGGAGCAAACGGG